AACGAACUCUGGUAUUGAUUGGUGCUUGCAUCAUGAUUUACAUUUGAGUGAGUGGCGAACUGGUGAGUAACACGUGGGAAACCUGCCCAGAAGCGGGGGAUAACACCUGGAAACAGAUGCUAAUACCGCAUAACAACUUGGACCGCAUGGUCCGAGCUUGAAAGAUGGCUUCGGCUAUCACUUUUGGAUGGUCCCGCGGCGUAUUAGCUAGAUGGUGGGGUAACGGCUCACCAUGGCAAUGAUACGUAGCCGACCUGAGAGGGUAAUCGGCCACAUUGGGACUGAGACACGGCCCAAACUCCUACGGGAGGCAGCAGUAGGGAAUCUUCCACAAUGGACGAAAGUCUGAUGGAGCAACGCCGCGUGAGUGAAGAAGGGUUUCGGCUCGUAAAACUCUGUUGUUAAAGAAGAACAUAUCUGAGAGUAACUGUUCAGGUAUUGACGGUAUUUAACCAGAAAGCCACGGCUAACUACGUGCCAGCAGCCGCGGUAAUACGUAGGUGGCAAGCGUUGUCCGGAUUUAUUGGGCGUAAAGCGAGCGCAGGCGGUUUUUUAAGUCUGAUGUGAAAGCCUUCGGCUCAACCGAAGAAGUGCAUCGGAAACUGGGAAACUUGAGUGCAGAAGAGGACAGUGGAACUCCAUGUGUAGCGGUGAAAUGCGUAGAUAUAUGGAAGAACACCAGUGGCGAAGGCGGCUGUCUGGUCUGUAACUGACGCUGAGGCUCGAAAGUAUGGGUAGCAAACAGGAUUAGAUACCCUGGUAGUCCAUACCGUAAACGAUGAAUGCUAAGUGUUGGAGGGUUUCCGCCCUUCAGUGCUGCAGCUAACGCAUUAAGCAUUCCGCCUGGGGAGUACGGCCGCAAGGCUGAAACUCAAAGGAAUUGACGGGGCCCGCACAAGCGGUGGAGCAUGUGGUUUAAUUCGAAGCUACGCGAAGAACCUUACCAGGUCUUGACAUACUAUGCAAAUCUAGAGAUUAGAC
rnacentral:rRNA from 2 species